UGUGGGAGCGGGCUUGCUCGCGAUGCAGGCGCUUCAGUCUGUGCUUUUUACGCGCUGAUGCUAUCGCGAGCAAGCCCGCUCCCACA
rnacentral:antisense_RNA from 1 species